rnacentral:lncRNA from 1 species
CACAGACUUGUCUACACGUCCUCAGGCUGGAGAGAACAUCAAGGAGGGAAUUUCAUGACUGCAAAUCGGUCUUUCCAAAAUAAUAUUCCUAAUGAUAGCUACUGUUUACGGAGUGCUUCCUCUGCGUGCCGGGCCUGCACUUGCUGAGCACCGUGCAUCCGAUAGCCAUAAUCAACUAAAUUUACUUCAUGCUUACCAACGGGUUGCUGUGGAUGGUCUGAAGAAAACCACUGAUGCAACUCAAACGUGUUCUUCUCAAGACAGUGGCAGAGUGCAAGAGCACGAGUGGGAAUAAGCAAGUGCCUUUCAAGCCUGUUUGCAUCAUGUCUGCUCACACCCAGUUGUUCCAAUAAGUCAGAUGUCUGGGCCCCUUCUAGGGCACCACAAGGUUACAGGACAAGGGCAGUUAAUGCAAUCAACCUACCGUAGCUCUCAGAAACUGGGGCAGCAGAGGAUGCCUGGGAAAGCCCUAUCAUUUGUUCUAGUCCACCCAGAAGUCUGCCUUGUCCAAGGAUAGCAUAUCCAUCCGUCCAUCUAUUCAAACAUUUGUGGGGACUGACUUUAGCCUAACAGCUUCAGAGGACAUGGGAACAGAAAGAAUUGGGUCCUACUCUAAGGGAGCUUAAGAUACAAUAGGCAUGAACCCAAAAAAUGUCAGCAUAAUGGGACCUUGAGAAAGGCCAAAGAAUUACCAACAAAUUGUUACAUGGCUGAGAUUGCCAAAUAUUGUGGUCUGCAGAAGGAUCUAGGCCCAUUGUGGAUUUUUCAGAAAUCUAAGGUAAAAUGAGCCCAAAAAAGCCAAUGUAGACAGAUUUGUUUGUAAGGUUAAAUUUGUUCUAUUUCAAAAACCAUUGUUUAUUCUGAAAAUGUCCUUCCUACAUUUGAAAUUAACAUGUUGACUUUUAUAAAAUUAAAAGAAAAUAGUUGUGUUUUUUUUGAGGAAGAUUAGCCCUGAGCUAACAUCUGCCACCAAUCCUCCUCUUUCUUUCUUUCUUUCUUUCUUUUUUUUCUGAGGAAGAUUGGCCCUGAGAUAACAUUCAUGCCCAUCUUCCUUUAUUUUAUAUGUGGGACGCCUGUCGCAACAUGGCUUGAUAAGCAAUGCGUAGGUCCACACCCAGGAUCCAAACCGGUGAACCCCAGGCCACUGAAGCGGAGCGUGCAAACUUAACUGCUGCACCACUGGACAAGCCCCAAAAAUAGUUUUAUUUGUGGCUUUUUAAAAUAUCCUUACCUAGUAGAAUAAAAGUUGUCAAUCUAAAAUCUAUCCUUCCCAAAUCCC